rnacentral:rRNA from 1 species
UACGGAGGGUGCGAGCGUUGUUCGGAAUUAUUGGGCGUAAAGCGCGUGUAGGCGGUUUUUUAAGUCUGAUGUGAAAGCCCCGGGCUCAACUUGGGAAGUGCAUUGGAAACUGAGAGACUUGAAUACGGGAGAGGGUAGUGGAAUUCCUGGUGUAGGAGUGAAAUCCGUAGAUAUCAGGAGGAACGCCGGUGGCGAAGGCGGCUGCCUGGACCGAUAUUGACGCUGAGACGCGAAAGCGUGGGGAG